rnacentral:snRNA from 1 species
AUACUUACCUCUCAGGGAAGAUGCCAUGAUCAAGAAGGUGGUUUUCCCGGGGAAAAGCUUAUCAUUGCCCUUCAGAUAUGUUAACCCAUGUAAUUUCCCCAAAUGUAGGAAAUUUGUGUAAUUAUGGAAGCAGGGGCUAUAUUCGUG